rnacentral:rRNA from 1 species
AUACGUAGGGGGCGAGCGUUGUCCGGAAUGAUUGGGCGUAAAGGGCGCGUAGGCGGCCCGGUAAGUCUGGAGUGAAAGUCCUGUUUUUAAGAUGGGAAUUGCUUUGGAUACUGUCGGGCUUGAGUGCAGGAGGGGUAAGUGGAAUUCCCAGGGUAGCGGUGAAAUGCGUAGAGAUUGGGAGGAACACCAGUGGCGAAGGCGACUUACUGGACUGUAACUGACGCUGAGGCGCGAAAGUGUGGGGAGCAAACAGGAUUAGAUACCCUGGUAGUCCACACUGUAAACGAUGAAUGCUAGGUGUAGGGGGUAUCGACCCCUUCUGUGCCGCAGUCAACACAAUAAGCAUUCCGCCUGGGGAGUACGGCCGCAAGGUUGAAACUCAAAGGAAUUGACGGGG